rnacentral:rRNA from 1 species
UUAGUGGCGAACGGGUGAGUAACACGUGGGCAACCUGCCCACGACACCGGGAUAACCAUCCGAAAGGAUGGCUAAUACCGGAUACGACCACUUUGGGUCAUCCAACGGUGGUGGAAAGGAUUCUGGUCUGGGAUGGGCCCGCGGCCUAUCAGCUUGUUGGUGGGGUAAUGGCCUACCAAGGCGACGACGGGUAGCCGGCCUGAGAGGGCGACCGGCCACACUGGGACUGAGACACGGCCCAGACUCCUACGGGAGGCAGCAGUGGGGAAUAUUGCGCAAUGGGCGAAAGCCUGACGCAGCGACGCCGCGUGAGGGACGAAGGUCUUCGGAUUGUAAACCUCUUUCAGCAGGGACGAAGCGAAAGUGACUGUACCUGCAGAAGAAGCACCGGCUAACUACGUG